GACGAACGCUGGCGGCGUGCCUAAUACAUGCAAGUAGAACGCUGAAGAGAGGAGCUUACUCUUCUUGGAUGAGUUGCGAACGGGUGAGUAACGCGUAGGUAACCUGCCUUGUAGCGGGGGAUAACUAUUGGAAACGAUAGCUAAUACCGCAUAACAAUGGAUGACACAUGUCAUUUAUUUGAAAGGGGCAAUUGCUCCACUACAAGAUGGACCUGCGUUGUAUUAGCUAGUAGGUGAGGUAAUGGCUCACCUAGGCGACGAUACAUAGCCGACCUGAGAGGGUGAUCGGCCACACUGGGACUGAGACACGGCCCAGACGCCUACGGGAGGCAGCAGUAGGGAAUCUUCGGCAAUGGGGGCAACCCUGACCGAGCAACGCCGCGUGAGUGAAGAAGGGUUUCGGACCGUAAAGCUCUGUUGUAAGUCAAGAACGGGUGUGAGAGUGGAAAGUUCACACUGUGACGGUAGCUUACCAGAAAGGGACGGCUAACUACGUG
rnacentral:rRNA from 1 species